AGCCCGUUGCUCAAUGGUAGAGCGUUCGACUAAAAUACCGAAAUUCCUGGGUUCAAAUCCCAGGUGUGCCA
rnacentral:tRNA from 1 species